rnacentral:lncRNA from 1 species
CUCCCUCCCUCUUCCCCCUUCCCCUCUCCCUGCAGCCGCGUCCACACUGCGCCGCCCGGGCAGCCCAGAGCGCGGCGCGCACGGGCACCGGCGGCGAGUGCCGCGGCCACUGCCCCUCCCGGGACCCCCUGUACGCCGUCCGCGCCGUCCAGGGUCACACCGGCGACGGAACCCGCCGGCAGCAAUUAGCCAGCAUCCCGGGGUCGGCCCCCAGAAGCAUUCCCCGGCCCAGGACGAGGAUGAACAGGACAGGCGAGGCACAAAGUCGCAACUGAACUUUUUAGAAACAUUAUUUGUGUGUGUAUGUGUGUAGCAGGGGAGAAUGAGCUGAUGCCGAGGGUCCAGCCACCCCGCCUCUGCCUCCUCCUCCCCCUGCCGCCGCUGCCCUCGCAGACGCGCGCGCACACACGGCACUUGGGCCGGGUUUCCGCGCUCCGUCCCCCCGUUUGGAUGGGGGUUUUCAUUUCCGAAGGAGGCACAGCCCGCGGAGCGCUCUGAAGGGCUGGAGCCCCAAGUUACUCCUCGCCAGCGCCGGCCGCCCGCUGUCACUCGCGCUGGCCGGCCGGGGGAAGGGACCCGCACGCCGGGCUUUGUUGUGGAAAUCCCGGUUACCUGGUCCCUUAUUUCGCGUGAGUCUUUGGCGUCCACGACCUUGAGUCUGACGGAAAGUCAGUCGGCCUCAAGCAUGCUGGCCACAGGACCCAGUGCAGCCCUGCUUCCCGCACCGUGGGUCUUUCCUGAUAGCUGCAGGCUUGAGAUUGCAGCCUCAGGAUAGGACACGUUCAGAUGCCUUCCAGACUACACACACUAUGCUUAGAUUCGAGAGUCUUUCCUGACCUUAAAAUUUGUCCCUUGCUUACUUUCACACUGCAGAAGAUUUAUAUAUAUAUUCAUCAUUAUUUUUGCAGCAGUACAAGUGGAAACUUCAAAAAAAUCAUUCCCUUUCAUGUCCUGGUCUUUUUAAGUCUUGAUAUGUAACCAUUUUCAUAAAUGUCCAAACAGAGAUUGUCAUUCCCCUUAAAAACAGAAACAAAACACAAAACUAGUGCUUGUGAAAACACACAGCGCAAAGACAAUUAUCCUAUUGCAUUAAAAAAAAAAUCAGUCUGCCUAGAGACAUUUCAUUGGCUGCAUUGUCUUAAUUCCCUAACGAAACUGCAUCAAAAUGUCAGUUGUAAUUUAGCCUCUGAUCAGCUGUUAAAUAUUAUUUAAAUAUUUACAGGUCCUGUGGGGUAUCUCCCAUUACCCAUGUCGCCCUCAAAUUACAUAAGCGAUCAUAAAAUAAGAAGAAAAAAAAAGGUCUUUAGUAGAUCACAGCAGAGUUACCACUGAUAAGAGUGUUGGCUUUGUUCAGUUGUUUCUAAAUUACCAGCCGUCAAGCACAGUAGCCCCUAAAACCAAUUUUGAGCAAGGAUAAAUUCAACUCCCUCAUCUGAGAACCUUGACUUUCCAGUUGCCUUGAAGUAUUGGGAAUAGUAACUGUACAUUUUCAAUUUAAUUAUUUGGUAUUUUAUUUGACUGUCUUGGCCAUGUCAUUUUAUGGAAGCAUUUUUAAAUAGCACUUUUUGUUAGUGGUGUGGAAUUUCUGCGGUUAUUAUUUUUUUUUUUUUUUGCAACAGAUGAAGCAAAAAAAAAAAAGCACUCAUUGGAGAAAUAGUGAGUGUAAAAAGAGAUUUAUUUUGUACAGACAGCAAAGUAUCCUGUGUAAUGUUGCUGACAUAAAGCACUUUGGGGGAAAAAAGUGGAAAUCUGUUUUCCAUAAAUCACACAGACUCUUGUACAUAGUUAUAUACACUCACGUAGAGAAAUGAACUGCAUAUAUCAUACUGGAUAUGGGGCCGAUUUUACUCUAGAGGCACAUCUGGUGCUUAUUGUCAUAAAUCUUUUAAAGAAUUAGGUACACUUUUUUCUAUUAAUAUGUAUAGUUUUGUGAUUUGUCACAGUUAUGUUUCAUAUAAUCAUAAGUUAUUUUGUCUUGUUCAUGAAGUCCUUUUUUUAUGUCAAAAGUAAAAUGAAGGGAUUGUGCACUUGGUACAGAAUAAAACUGGAAAUAGAGAAGACGCCCUCCUGCCUAAAAUCCUCCUUCAGCCUGUCGGUUUAAAACACAAUGGCAACCAUCAUUGUUUGUUUGUUUGUUUUUUUGUUUUGUUUUACCAUCAGCCUCUUACAUACUGGGAAUGGUAAUUAUAAUUAAAGGCAGAUGAUGCGGGAGGGAAUGUUCAAGUCCAGCUUUAAAAUGCUGCAUUGCUUUGGGCCAGAGCUGUAGCCUGGAUUUAAUUAUAGAUAUGAGGAGGAAAUGGCAGUAAAAAUGAAUGUCUCCCUGAGUCCUUUACAUGUUGGGAGUGUCCAUAAAUAAAACAUGAAGUUUUAUUUCAUCAGAUUUAAUUAAAGCUUUUAUACAUGUUU